rnacentral:rRNA from 1 species
UACGGAGGAUCCAAGCGUUAUCCGGAUUUAUUGGGUUUAAAGGGUGCGUAGGCGGGUUGUUAAGUCAGAGGUGAAAGCCGGCAGCCUAACUGUCGAACUGCCUUUGAUACUGGCGACCUUGAAUGUGAUGGAAGUGGGCGGAAUGCGGCAUGUAGCGGUGAAAUGCGUAGAUAUGCCGCAGAACACCGAAAGUGAAGACAGCUCACUAGGUCAUUAUUGACGCUGAUGCACGAAAGCGUGGGUAGCAAACAGGAUUAGAUACCCUGGUAGUCCACGCCGUAAACUAUGAUAACUCGACGUUGGCGAUAAACUGUUCAGCGUCCAAGCGAAAGCGUUAAGUUAUCCACCUGGGGAGUACGAUCGCAAGGUUGAA